GAAAGAAUGCCACAGCCAUGCCCCUGCAUCCAGCUGUUGUUUUAUUACUGUGUGCUUGGAUAGAAGGAGCCAACCAUGUCACCAGGGAGUGCCUGGCAGUGCUGACGCUCCUGGCAGAGUGAGGCUGUAGCCAAGAAGUCGUCAGGCUCUGAUUUAUCCCAUUGCCAAGUGCUGGAUGGAAAGUUCUGAGAACAGUGCUGGUGGAAAGGACAGCAGGCACGAUGGCUCUGAGGGGCGUCUUCCCUCAGAGCUCCGGAAUGGCAUGCAUCUGUUUAUCUCCUGCCUUGCCAGCCCACCAAAGCUACCCACCCCCCCCCAAUGGCCUCAGCAUGCCAUGGCAUUUAAUAGAUGUUAAAAAAUAGUAACAUCGGAGCCUGUGACUCUGAUGCUACUGUCACAAAGGUUCCUUAUUGGUGAGGCCUGAUUGGCUGAGCCAGAGACUUUAGAGAGAGACCAAGCCAGGUGUGGGUUAGCCCUGUACUCUCUGCCCCCCCCCCCCCCAGAUGCUGAGGUCAUAGUGAAAGGGAUGAGCCUGGGGUGUUUGGACACACAUGUCUAGGGUAUUUGCCCUUUUUCAAAACAGGAGAAUGGUUCUGGAUGCCCCAUUUUCUUAUCUUGUGAGCAGGGCAGGCUCUCUCAGUCUAGGCCGUAGAUAUGUCUGUCCUCUGGGGGGAGAGGGUAGAGGCUUUAGGGCACAUGGUUGGGGGCAGUGGGUAGGGUUCUGUCACCCUCUCUUCUUUGCAGGAUGAGUUCUACGAUUGUUCAGCUGAGACUUCCCAGACUGGUGCCACAGGCCUGCACAGAGGACCUCAGCAAAGGAUAUCUGCAGUCAUUUUUCCUCUUGACUGGGAUCUCCCGAUGUUCUGAUAGGGGUGGAAGACAAGUUUCCUGUGACUCAUUUUACCUCUGCUCUGCACCUGAAUGGUCCAGGAAGCAGACCUGGUCAGUGGCUAUAGGUCAACACGACCUGGCAUUUCCAGCCCUCAGGGCUGAUUCCCACAGAGAGCUCACCUUGAAAGGCAGGUGCCCUAGAAGAUGCCAGACCCUUUCUAGGUUUCCCUACCAUAGCCUUGUGAGAAGCCUGCUUUACCAUAGAAGAAAUGGAGACCCAGUAAACUUAACUCUCCCUUACAUGAUCAUCAGCAGAAGAUUAUAUUCUGGGGACCCUGGGCAUUAUAGAUCUGGAAUUGUUAGAGUCACCAGCUGUCAGAAUUGCCCCUCAGCUUUGGCUAGACAGGAAGGGGGACCACCCCACCAAACGCUCCUCCCUCUCUUCCUCUUCCUUCAUCAUUGUGUAUCUACUGCCUUUGAUCUUCACAGCAACCACACUGUUAACUUGAGUCGUGCUCCCGGGAAAGGCAGAUGGAGAUCUGGGGGUCAAGGAGAGAUGACAAGUCACGGGGGAGAGAUGACAAGUCACGGGGUGGUCAGGAGGCUGGCAGGAGAAGGCUCUGAGCACAGGGCUGGGAGACCAGGAAUGCUCAUUUCCUGACAGGUCUUGAUGCCUAUCAGCAAGGAGGAUGGAGGAAGGAGGAAGCGGGGAGAACCCUGAAUGAUUCCAGAGUCAGGCUAGCCAGUGUGUUGGAAUCUGGUACCCAGUGUGCUGCUCCUAGACGCUGGUUUUAGAGCCAGCAUUCCUACCAGCUCCUAUGUCCUUGUGGCUGGGACUGGGAGGGAGGGUUGAAGACACGGGCCUAGGAGAAUAAGUGCUUGGCCAAGCAAGGCUGGGGUGCAGCUAAGAUUUGAUCUCAUCGUGGUGAGUGUGUUGAUCAGCUUUCCCUCACUGUAACAGACACCUGAGAAGAGUUGGCUUAUAAGAGAGAAAGGUUUGUUUUGGUCACUGCUUUGGAGGUCCCAAAGCAAUGGCCCAAAUGACCAUUAGUGAGCCAAUACAUCAUGAAGGGAGUAUGUAACAUAGGAGACUGCCCACUUCAUAGCAGCCAAAAACAGGUAUGGGGUGGGGUUGGG
rnacentral:lncRNA from 1 species